rnacentral:rRNA from 1 species
UGGGGAAUAUUGCACAAUGGGCGAAAGCCUGAUGCAGCAACGCCGCGUGAGUGAUGAAGGUCUUCGGAUUGUAAAGCUCUGUCUUUUGGGACGAUAAUGGCGGUACCAAAGGAGGAAGCCACGGCUAACUACGUGCCAGCAGCCGCGGUAAUACGUAGGUGGCGAGCGUUGUCCGGAUUUACUGGGCGUAAAGGGUGCGUAGGCGGAUGUUUAAGUGAGAUGUGAAAUACCCGGGCUUAACUUGGGUGCUGCAUUUCAAACUGGAUAUCUAGAGUGCAGGAGAGGAGAGUGGAAUUCCUAGUGUAGCGGUGAAAUGCGUAGAGAUUAGGAAGAACACCAGUGGCGAAGGCGAUUCUCUGGACUGUAACUGACGCUGAGGCACGAAAGCGUGGGUAGCAAACAGGAUUAGAUACCCUGGUAGUCCACGCCGUAAACGAUGAGUACUAGGUGUAGGAGGUAUCGACCCCUUCUGUGCCGCAGUAAACACAUUAAGUACUCCGCCUGGGAAGUACGAUCGCAAGAUU